CCAAAAAUAGGUGAUUGAAAGGACACGAAUCACGAUGUGUGGUGGUCUUGUAAUUGCGACAUUAUCAAGAAUACUGUCAAACUGAUCUGAAAUCUAGCAAACAAAUCUCUAUCAGUGAAUUAAAAAGGAUUUCCAGGAGAGGCCAUGGCUACAAUGUCUCUAAACAACUCAUAAAGCAAGAGGAAGCCUAUCAAAACCGAAGGCAGCUUUGUAUAAGACAGGUUCAGUGAUUUGCCAUACAAUUUGUUAUGUCAAAUCCUCUCUGAACUCCGUACCAAGGAAACGGUUAGCACUAGUAUCUUGUCAAGGCGUUGGAAAGAUCUCUGGUCACAUCUUCCUGUUUUGGAUUUGGGUUACAAUGAUUUCAAAGAUACUGAUUUCGAUUUGAUGCUUUAUAGAUUGUUUUUUUGGAGCCUAACCUGGUUUUAGAGGUAACGAAACAAAUUCUGAUUGUGGAUGAUCAAAGAAAACAGUGUAGAGAGUCAAAUCCACCAAUGUGAAGCAUGAAUAGAGCGAGAGAGGCAUCCUAACCAAGGCAUCAUGAACAGCCACCGUAUUCAGAAUAGUUAGAUGACCAACUCCACGCUCAAACACUUUAUAUAUCGUGAACACAAAACAAUCAUGAACGGGCUCAACAUCAACAUCAUAAACCAACUUGAACGAGUCUAAAUCCAGGAAAUUAUGACCAGAGGUCUUUCCAAUGCCUCGACAAGAUAUUAAUGUUAACCGAUUCCUUGGUAGAGAGAGUUGAGAGAGGAUUCGACAUAACACAUCAUAUGGCAAAUCACUUAACGUGUCUUCUUGCUUUAAGAGUUGUUUAUAGAUAUUGUAGCCAUGGCCUCUCCCGAAAAUCCUAUAUUUCACACAAAGUUACGAUGUCAGUUUAGAAGUACGAAAGAUUACGGAAGAGAAGAAGAAGAGCCUUUUCAAUUCUCUGGCAGAGAUUUCUUGCUAGAUGUCAGAUCUCUUUGACAGUUUUCUUGAUAAUAUCGCAAUUACAAGAGCACCACACGUCGUGAGUCACGUCCUUUCAAAUUUCAAUCUUUACUGACCUCUUUUUGGUAUUUUUAAAUUAAAAAUAAUUAAUUUUCCUCUUUAAUACUUUCACUUAUCCUACAAAUGAUUGACUUUCGUUUAAAUUCAAAUCUUGGCCAUACAUUUCAUAGUUUUGUAAUUAAUUUGGUCAAAAAAAAUAUAAAGUAGCUAAAUAAACAAUGUAGU